GACGAACGCUGGCGGCGUACCUAAUACAUGCAAGUAGGACGCAGUUGCGAACGGGUGAGUAACGCGUAGGUAACUGCCUAUUAGAGGGGGAUAACUAUUGGAGACGAUAGCUAAUACCGCAUACUAGUAGAUGGACCUGCGUUGUAUUAGCUAGUAGGUAGGGUAAUGGCCUACCUAGGCAACGAUACAUAGCCGACCUGGGAAGGUUAUCGGCCACACUGGGACUGGGACACGGGCCCGACUCCCUCGGGAGGCAGCAGUAGGGAAUCUUUGGCAAUGGGGGGAACCCUGACCAAGCAACGGCGGGGGAUUUGAGGAGGGUCUCGGAGCGUAAAGGUCUUUUGUUCAGGAAGCGGUACUUAACCAGAAAGUAACGGCUAACUACGUGCCAGCAGCCGCGGUAAUUC
rnacentral:rRNA from 1 species